rnacentral:rRNA from 1 species
AACGAACGCUGGCGGCAUGCCUAACACAUGCAAGUCGAACGAGACCUUCGGGUCUAGUGGCGCACGGGUGCGUAACGCGUGGGAACCUGCCCUUAGGUUCGGAAUAACUCCCCGAAAGGGGUGCUAAUACCGGAUAAUGUCUUCGGACCAAAGAUUUAUCGCCUUUGGAUGGGCCCGCGUUGGAUUAGCUAGUUGGUAGGGUAAAAGCCUACCAAGGCGACGAUCCAUAGCUGGUCUGAGAGGAUGAUCAGCCACACUGGGACUGAGACACGGCCCAGACAACGACGGGGAGGGGGAGUGAGAAAUAUGAGACAGGGGGAGAACGCGCGAUCAAGCAAGGCGGUGUGGGUGAUGAAGGCCUGAGGGUUAUAAUUCGCUUUUAGGGGGGGUGAUAAUGAGAGGACGGGGAGAAGGGGCCCCGGCCAACGCCGUGCCAGAGGCCGAGGUAAGAGAGGGAAGAGCAAACGUCUAACU